ACGGCUCAGUAACACGUGGACAACCUACCCUUGGGUCUGGCAUAAUCCUGGGAAACUGGGUAUAAUUCCGGAUAGGUCACAGAUGCUGGAAUGCACUGUGGCCGAAAGCUCCGGCGCCCAAGGAUGGGUCUGCGGCCUAUCAGGGUUGUAGUGGGUGUAACGGACCUACUAGCCUACGACGGGUACGGGUUGUGAGAGCAAGAGCCCGGAGAUGGAUUCUGAGACACGAAUCCAGGCCCUACGGGGUGCAGCAGGCGCGAAAACUUUACAAUGCGGGAAACCGUGAUAAGGGAAUCUCGAGUGCCAGCAUAUAAUGUUGGCUGUCCAGAUGCCUAAAAAGCAUCUGUUAGCAAGGGCCGGGCAAGACCGGUGCCAGCCGCCGCGGUAACACCGGCGGCCCGAGUGGUAACCGCUUUUAUUGGGUCUAAAGGGUCUGUAGCCGGCCAAGUAAGUCCCUUGGGAAAUCUGGCAGCUUAACUGUCAGGCUGCUAGGGGAUACUGCUAGGCUUGGGACCGGGAGAGGUGAGAGGUACCUUGGGGGUAGGGGUGAAAUCUUGUGAUCCUCGGGGGACCACCAGUGGCGAAGGCGUCUCACCAGAACGGGUCCGACGGUAAGGGACGAAAGCUAGGGGCACGAACCGGAUUAGAUACCCGGGUAGUCCUAGCCGUAAACGAUGCUCGCUAGGUGUCAGUCACGGUGCGACCGUGAUUGGUGCCGUAGGGAAGCCGUGAAGCGAGCCACCUGGGAAGUAUGGCCGCAAGGCUGAAACUUAAAGGAAUUGGCGGGGGAGCAC
rnacentral:rRNA from 2 species